GUUUGUUGUGCAGGUUGGGAUACUACAUAAACCAGCUAACAAGAUGAGAUCUAAUAACCUUGUUCAUGUUAAUUUGGCAGAUAAUCAGGUCGAAAUGUCCUCCUUGCCGGAGAACUCAUGAACAAAUUAGGGUUGCUUCAUGCUAGACUAUCAAGUGACAAAAUUGCUGCUAAAAAGCAUCUGGUUUAUGAGUGCAACAAAUGGCAGGUUGAUGAUGAUGAAAUGAAAGAGGUAGCACGAUGCCUAGAUACA